CACCGAUGGCGAAGGCAGGUCUCUGGGCUGUUACUGACGCUGAGGAGCGAAAGCAUGGGGAGCGAACAGGAUUAGAUACCCUGGUAGUCCAUGCCGUAAACGUUGGGCACUAGGUGUGGGGGACAUUCCACGUUUUCCGCGCCGUAGCUAACGCAUUAAGUGCCCCGCCUGGGGAGUACGGCCGCAAGGCUAAAACUCAAAGGAAUUGACGGGGGCCCGCACAAGCGGCGGAGCAUGCGGAUUAAUUUGAUGCAACGCGAAGAACCUUACCAAGGCUUGACAUAUACCGGAUCGUUCCAGAGAUGGUUCUUCCCCUUUGGGGUCGGUAUACAGGUGGUGCAUGGUUGUCGUCAGCUCGUGUCGUGAGAUGUUGGGUUAAGUCCCGCAACGAGCGCAACCCUCGUUCCAUGUUGCCAGCACGUGAUGGUGGGGACUCAUGGGAGACUGCCGGGGUCAACUCGGAGGAAGGUGGGGAUGACGUCAAAUCAUCAUGCCCCUUAUGUCUUGGGCUUCACGCAUGCUACAAUGGCCGGUACAAAGGGUUGCGAUACUGUGAGGUGGAGCUAAUCCCAAAAAGCCGGUCUCAGUUCGGAUUGAGGUCUGCAACUCGACCUCAUGAAGUCGGAGUCGCUAGUAAUCGCAGAUCAGCAACGCUGCGGUGAAUACGUUCCCGGGCCUUGUACACACCGCCCGUCAAGUCACGAAAGUCGGUAACACCCGAAGCCGGUGGCCCAACCCUUGUGGAGGGAGCCGUCGAAGGUGGGACUGGCGAUUGGA
rnacentral:rRNA from 1 species